ACUUAAUGGUGUGAGAAACAUGUGGAAGAUUAUAGAAAAAAGGAGAAAAUCUGAAUGGAACAAAAGGCAGGAGCUAAAGUCAAAAUUUCUUGGAAUAUCCCUGGAAGGCCAGCUCUUGUUGGGUUCUAACAACUAUGGAGAAGUAAUUGCUAUUCUAGGAACUUCAGAUGCCUUAAGUAAUUUAUUUUUCUUAAUUAUCUUCUGAGGUUAGUCAAAUUUACAGAGGAAUAAACCGAAGCACCAACGGAAGAAUAACGCAAAAGUCUCACAGAAGGGGAAAAUGCUGUCUUUGUAACUUUCAGCGGAGACACUCCCAGACGUCAGUGUGUAUCUCGUCCACAUGGUGCAAUCUGCCAUGUUCUGAGAGCUGGUCUCCAUGGAUUUGGUUCUUGGCUUCCUUUUCUAGAGAGUGCCAGAGAGAUUCCAUAUACAGAAGUUUUCCUUCAGAGACUUCAUACCUUUGCUAUUCAAUCCUCACUCCUCACCGACAGAGAUCUUGAUGACAGGAAACACAUCCCCGGUGAGCACAGCUUGAUGGCAGCUGGCAACGUCUCCUGGUUUUUAUGGAAGGCUUAAUUGGAGAGUGUCUGAUGCCUGAAGGACUUUGCUGGUUGACAACCUUGAAAAUGGUGAAAGAAAGAAAUUGAAACCAGAUCUCACUGAGUGGGAAGGCCUCACUCAGCUGACCUGUGAACAAAGACCUACAUGAAGUGAUAAGCAGAUAUCUGGGACGAGCAUUCCAGGCACAGAGAACAGCAUGUGCAAAACCCCAGAGACAAGAGUAUUCCUGGAGUGUGAAAGGACUACAAGAAAUCACGUUUGUUCGAGAUAGCUUCAGUGAGACUCUAUCAAAUUGAAACAAACCACAGGAACAGACGCUUUUUCUCAUUGCAUGGCUGCCACUCUUGGAGAGCAGGAAAGGUGUGCAGUAGGAGCACCUGAGCUGCUCUUCACCACAGCUCAGGAGGGGAGAGGAGGACUCUGAGGCUCAGGAGGAGAGGGGAGGACUCCAUGGCUCAGGAAGAGUGGGAAGAAUACCACAAAGUCUGUGCAAGUUUUUACAUGGCAAAUGGCAUUUCCCUGGGUGAUCCUGAGACCCAGACUUCUUCUGUCUUACCUACCAUCCCUUGGAUCUUACAUUAUCUGCAUCAAGUGGGCAGAAUGGAAAGAGAAUAGGAAGUUCCGAUCUAGAAGGCACAUUUCUGCACAUAUUCCAAUGGUGAGAACAAGCCACAUGGCCACACUUAGAAGCAAACAAAGCUGGGAAACAUGGUCUCUGGCUGGGCAGCCAGUUAUCAGCAGUAACUGUCUUCAGAUGCUUCUCAACCUACAAUGUGGCUCUGUCCCAAUAAAUCCAUUGUAAGUUAAAAAUAUCAUAAAUUGAAACGCAUUUUCUACACCUAACCUACCAAACAACAUAGCUUAGGCUAGCCUACCUCAAACAUGCUCAGAAUACUUAUAUUAGCAUUCAAUUGGGCAAAAUCAUCAAACACGAAGCCUAUUUUAUGAUAAAGUGUU